GAUGAACGCUGGCGGCGUGCCUAAUACAUGCAAGUCGAGCGAAGCGCGGACGGGGGAGUAACACGUGGAUAACCUCCCAUAUGACUGGGAUAAAUUCGGGAAACCGGAGCUAAAACGGCUAAUGAUAGAUGAUUCCACGCGGCAUUAGCUAGUUGGUAAGGUAACGGCUCACCAAGGCAACGAUGCAUAGCCGACCUGAGAGGGUGAUCAGCCACACUGGAACUGAGACACGGUCCAGACUCCUACGGGAGGCAGCAGUAGGGAAUCUUCCGCAAUGGGCGAAAGCCUGACGGAGCAACGCCGCGUGAGUGAAGAAGGCCUUCGGAUUGUAAAGCUCUGUUAUUAGGGAAGCGGUACCUAAUCAGAAAGCCACGGCUAACUACGUGCCAGCCGCCGCGGUAAUAC
rnacentral:rRNA from 1 species